rnacentral:sRNA from 1 species
UCACAGAUGGGAGCCCCCUGCUCGGCGG